AAACUUUUGACCACAACUGUAGAUGUAUUACACACAGAGUGAUCUGUUUUAAGUGUUUAUUUAUUUUAUUGUUUAUGAUUAUGGAUUACAGCCAAAAAAAAAAAAAAAAAAAUCAGUAUCUCAGCAGAAAUUUAGAAUAUUAUAAAUAAGACCAGUUGAUAUUUUUGGCAGUGUGGGCAGUGUGCCAAGUCCUGCCUGAAAAUGAAAUCUGCAUCUCUGUAAAAGUUGUCAGCAGAGGAAAAACACUGCACUGACUUUAGACUUGAUAAAACACAGUGGAUCAACACCAGCAGAUGACAUGGCUCUUCAAACUUUACACUAGACCUCAAGCAGUUUGGACUGUGUGUCUCUCCACUCUUCCUCCAGUCUCUGAUCCCUUGAUUUAUAAAUAAAAUGUAAAAUUUACUGAUGAUCAGUGAUGGUUUGGAGAGACAUGUCAUCUGCUGGUGUUGAUGCAGCAGAUGAUUUGUUUUAUUAUCAAGUCGAAAAUCAGUGCAGUUUUGUUUUCCCACAAAAUCUUACAGCACUUCAUGCUUCCCUCUGCUGAUAACUUUUAUGGAGAUGCAGAUUUCACUUUCCAGCAGGAUUUUGCACACUGCCCACAUUGACACAGUCUACUUGAAAUGAUCCCCAGAUCACCAAUGUCAGGAGGACCCCAAUAACUUUGAUAAAGAUGCUGUGCCAACACCUGUCUAUAUACUCUAUAUCUAGGUGCUCUCUCAGGGGCUAAAGAAAGCUGGGAGUAUGACUCAGGAGCCAGAGACCUUCAGAGCCCAGACCUGCCGUCUCCUCCUCAGCAUCCACGGCAGCAGUCCUCAGUGCUUCUGCAGAAGUUCCUGGAACAGCCAAGCAGUGUCUCAGAGUCUCCAUCCGGCCUACAUAGGUUCCUCUCCCAGCCUUCGGGACGCAGCGCUCCUGUGGGAGGAGGCAACGUGGACUUGGCCAACACAGCUAGAGCUUGAUGUGCUGAUUGUUCUGGAAGCCGUAGGCUGUAGUUUCUGGAAGACGCCCUCAGACUCCUCAGAUCACCCUCUGCUGCCUCUUCUCUUUACUGAGGGGAAACUGUGUUUACUGCAGACAUGGCUGUUCAUCCUGUUUACUGAUAAAGCUGUUUCAGCACGGACCUUCUUCUUCUGGAUGAAAGAUGAUGCGUAUCUCUUAGUUCAGC
rnacentral:lncRNA from 1 species